rnacentral:misc_RNA from 1 species
GAAUAAUUGAUGUUAUAUUUAAACUAGAAAUGCAUUAUCAUUUUCCUUCAGAUACUACCACGUCCACCGCCUGAAGACGAAUUUUGUCAUAACACAUAAAGGAACCAGGUGGGAUGUACAGAGACAUCCUAAUUAAUCUAAUGAUCCAUUUAAGUUGUUCUUAACGAAUGCCCGCACGCUAUAUAUAAGAAACAUAAUAACAUGAUUAGAACAACCCAUUUGACACUCACUGAACCAUAUUACACACCACAUUCUAAAUUAAAUUAAAUCUUGGAGCUUGGAACCCCAUUGCCAAGUACCCUCCUCAUUGACUGAAUCCGGAAUCUGCAUCUCCGCCACAAAGUCUCUCAGACAGGAUACCCACCUGCUAUUAAUUUGUCAAAACUCUCCUAUUAUCUACCUUAACCAACCAUAUGAGGGAUGAAAGAUGGUCGAGCCUCAACUAAUGGAGCAGGCAGGAUUGGUUCCAUCGGUGUCGAAGCAUCCAAAAAUUGAGUUGCAUUACCCACAGAUAUCUCCAUCUCAGGUUCAGCACUCUUCUUUUCUUGCAUGCUCUGGAAUUAGACGCUGCCGCAGUUCUGCAGUUGCACCAGCCAUCUCUGCAGGGGUGUUUGGAAUGAGCAAUAUAAAGAGAAAAUUCUUGGUGAAAAUGACAGAUAAGAGCCUACCUUGAGCUGUAAAAUUGAACAAAGGAGGUAGCGCUCGUCCAUUAGGCAAACAGGCAUUGGGGUUUCUCAAAUCAUCAAAGAAAGGGUGAGCACAUGCCUCCAGCUGACAACCAGGAAAUAUAAACUAGGUUACCAAAUUUCCCAAAAUAUGCAAAUUUCAAAUAUAGAUAUAAAUCCUAUUAGGAAUAAAACAUUUACAACUAAUGCAACACAAGCAGGGAAAUUCAACAGAACAGCACAUAAAAAUGAAAAUAUUCAACAGUCCAUGAAACUAACUGAAUCUAAGGUAAUAUAAUGUUCUUACAGCACUGCAACGUAGAUUAGGUGAAUACUGCAGCAGCCUUGAUACAAGAUCCACAGCUUCAGGGGGCAUUCGCUUGUGAAAUAUCUUGUGCCAUGUGUGAGCUUUAAUCUGAGGGAACU